rnacentral:lncRNA from 13 species
CUUUGAGACAGCCUCCAUGACGAGAAACUGCCUUGGGAGCGGGGCAUGAUGGGAAACGUAUGGCCAACAGAAAUAACAGCCGGAGCAAGGCUCCCGGCAUAUGACCCAUUAAAGGAACCACCUGUGUCCCAUUAGGGCUGGCUGGGAAGAGAGACGUGAUGGGAAGAUGCCGGAAGACGUCUCAGCAGUCUACUGUGGCUACUGGGCCCGAGAAGAUCAGGACCUAUUCUUACUAUCCAUCGACUGAUUGCAUCCAUCGCUACCCAUCUUCCACCUAUCUGUAACCAUCCUCCUUGUUCUGAAAAUAAUACGUACCUUCAAGCUCCUUGAUAAUACAUAGCGUGGAUGUUCCCACUCCUGCUUCCAGGCAUAAGCUUCAGGCGAGCUUGUUUCAGGCUGUGAGAAUGGAUGAGGACAGCUGGAGCCAAUGAUGUUCUGCUGCUCAGCCAGAUCCUGGUGUCAUCACUGGGCAGCCCUACACUGGAAACUUGUCCCACUUCCCCUAUCUAUCUUCAUGUUGUGGCACACGAAGGCUUUUGGAUUUUCCAGCACUACAGGAUUAAAGGAGACAACCUUCUUCAUCUGGAGCAUCAGUUCCUGAGUGAACGUCCUGGACCAAAAUGAGGACCUGGGAAAUGAGGACCUUGCCGCAGGCCUCCUUGUGUGUUCAGCUUCUGCCCACAGAGGAACAUCUGAUUUGCCACUGCUCCUGCUGUUUUCUUGGGAAAUGUAAUUGUAGAACAGCUACCUAGAAUCUGUCUGGAACGAGCAGAGGGUGUAUGAAACAAAGCCUUUUCCUGAGCCCAAACCGUAUCCCAAAAAGGCAACA